rnacentral:lncRNA from 1 species
UGCCAUCGAAACAUCCAAUCACUGUACUGAGAAUUCGCAUGUCAUGAUACUUCCUUGAGAAAAGAAGGUGAGUACAAACCCUCCAUAAACGCACAUCCUAGCAACUCCCCGGAUCGCACCUCUUAGAGGACGAUCACAAUGGCGUGCGAUGUAUAAACUCUUCAUUUCGCCUAGCGUGUCACUUGAGACCCUCUCCAACAUGGCACCACCCAAAGAAUGUUCUAUCCUUAUCAGCCUUGAAGAACGGAAGGCCCGCCC